UUGACUCGAUCUCCUGCCUCCACCCGUCCACCAGAUGUCCUCGGACUCCCAGUCUCACCCACCUGCUCACCUGCCUCUCCUUCCCUGAUCAGCUCACAUUGUGUGAACCGCCCGUCUGUCUCCACUCAUUUACCAGGUUGUCGAGACAUUUAUCUUCUGCGUGUUUUGUUACCGCACCACCUGCCUGUCUCCCUUUUCACGCUUAUCAAUACAGACGUUCUGUGGCGUCCCGGUGGAACAGCGGGUGUGAGAUGCACGCAGUUCAUGAUGUCUGAGAACCCGUUUAUGUGGCCUGAUCCCAUGAGCUGCCGCCCCCGGAAAACCAACUUUUCACCAGAGUCAACUUGAACUUGAACUUGUGUGAUGAACGGGAGGAGGAGCCGGACGGGAAAACACAUCCAAACACAACACAACGCUCCAGUGACUGCUUCAGAUGUGACCUACAAAGAUGACACAGCCAACACAGACCCACCCACCGACGCCCACACCCAGAAACACGCGAGGCAGCGGGGGGGGGGAGGAGUCGACGCCAUUGUUCCUCCUGUGGCUCGAGGUGGCCUGAGCCCCACACCCUGCUGUUCAGACCUUGUUAUUGGCUGCUCGUCUCUGUGGCAACAAUCGACGGCGGCCGUCACCGGGAAAAGGAUAACAGAGGAUAGGGUAGCAGGACCUGAGGUACAAAGUCACGUUCCUCUAAACAACCAUCUGUACAGGUGAAAUAAAAUCAAAGGGCAGGACAGUGACACUCAUAUCCUCUUUACGAGGCCUCUUCAUGAGUAGAUCAUCUGCUGAACAUGCAGUGGUGAAAACUCCAUAGACGUGAUGUUGCCAGCAGUGAUGGAGGCGUCUGUUCCAUCUAUGAUCUUCAAGCAUUUAAAGGAUUUCACCCAAAUUAACAACCAGCUCCUGGUGGUGCCAAGUCAUGGGGGUUAUUUUCUGGGAGAUUUAAAUGUAGUUCAUCACGGCUGUGAGCACCGCAAGUGAAAUUCCUUUCAUUUUCCUCAUUGUAGUGGAAAGAUUGAAUCAAUCUCAAGAACCAGAAACCAUCAAAAACUGGAUUAAUUAAACCUGUGCAAGGACUUUUGUGAUUUGGGUGAAAAAAAACGAUGGUUUUUGAUGUUUCACGUGCUCAUAUUAAGUGUUUAUGACUUUCACUUUCUCACGUUAUGGCUUCAUGAGUUUUAUUAUCCUGCAUCUAGUGAAACAAUAUUAUACCAUAAAUUCAAAGCACAGAGCUUAUAUGUGACAUUUUAAAUAAAAUCUAAUGUGUCCAUAAAUUUAACAUGUUUUCCACCAUGUGUGAAAAGUUACUCAAGUUUUAAAAAAUUCCAGAUGUUGAAUACAAGAUCUGAAAGAGUGAAGGAAGAAGGAAUAACAGCUUUAAAAGUAGAAAUUUAAUAGUAGAAGUAGAAAUACCCAUAAAGUAAAACUAGAAUGGCACUAAGAGGAACACGUAUCUCCAUCCAAGGCCCAACGGUCUCCUCAUGAAACCACUUUGAAAAUCACUGGAUCCAAAUUUUUGUGUGGAUCUGCACCA